UACAAAAUUUAACGUGGUUCGAUCCUAUGUCCACAAAAAGAAGACUUGUUCUUUAUUAUAAGAGAAUAAAAUUCAUACAAGAAUACAACUUGAAUCCAAAUUCAACCCUAGUAUAAUUUCUCUCAUCUCUUAAGAACACUCUCUCACUCAUAUAUAAGGUUACUAUCGCGCCCCAUUUUUUGCGAUGAAAAUGGUAUUUACAAAAGAUGUGAUUUUUAUUUAAAAGAAUAUGUGAAAAAAGACCUAAAAUGGAACUUUAAAAAAUGCGAUAGUUUGGGCCCAAAAAUUUAGUCAAAAAGGGUUUUAAGAAAAAUAGGAGUCGCUACUUGGUAUUGAGUUUGGGUAUACCAAGUCACCCAAAAAAUAUUUUUAACAAAAAUGUUAAUAAAACCCUUUUCGACAACUCCAAGUCUUUGAAAACAAGAGAAAAUGAUUUCGGAAGUCACGGUUGAAAAAAGGGAAAGUAAAGGUUCAAUUGACUCAAACCUAAGGCACCCUUUCAAUUUAGUCUAAGCUAGUUGCGUGGUUUAGUUAAAAUUUCUCUAAUCUAACCCUUAAAUUUAUCACGUUUGGAAGUUUUCUACAUGAAUGCAAAUCUAAAUUUAGAAAAUAUCGAAAGGGACAAAAUGUCCAUUCAAGGGUUUAAUUGACGCCAAUCGCAUUAAUUGCGAAGGUCAAAAUAAUUUCUUGAAGGUAUCACGAGUAUGCGAAUGAUGAAAUUAAAAGAAAAAAAAAGUAAAUUAAAUUAUAUACAUAGGUAUAUGUGAUCAAAGGAAAAGGAAUGCAGCAUAAUGGGUACGGGAGGCAAAAACUCGUGACAUAAUUUUCUUAUACACGGAUUAAUGGGUAUUUAAACUAAAAAGUUAUAAUCACCCAUUUCCAUGUUCAAAGAAUAAUUUUCCUAAUCUAGACAAGCAAAUGAACUAACUUAUUUUGCAAUUUCUUAAAUGACAUGCAAUUCUAAAUGAUAUGAUUAACACCUAUAGAGGGUAGGGGGUAGAGAAUAAUAUAAUAAGAAAUAUCAUGCAAAUGAGAAAAGAUCCAAAAAAAAAUGCAUGAAAAUGUAAUGAAUGUCAUACAAAAAAAAUGAAUUUAAUGCAUGAACGAUCUAAGGGUCUAGCGUUAGACUAGCCCAUUUCUAAAGAACCUUACUAGCAUUGGACUAGCAAGUAAGCGGAGGGAGAAACCACAACUAGCGUUGGACUAGUAUGGUGACGUCGUGUAUUAAUAAUACAUAGUAAAACAAAUAAGACAUAAAUAAAAACAAAUAAGCACAUAAGAGCACGUAGCACGUAACACAUAAACAUAAUAUCUAGAUGCAAAAAUCCUAAGGAAAGCGGAUAAAACAUAUAGCACAUAAACCACAUAAACACGCCAAACCUAUCUAUUACAACGGGGAAUCUAACUACAAUCUAAAAUGGAAAAAUAUAAUAAAAUAAACCUAUCUAUCCUAUAAUAAUAGGGGACCUAAU
rnacentral:lncRNA from 1 species